rnacentral:rRNA from 1 species
GAAAAGAACUUUGAAGAGAGAGUUCAAGAGNACGUGAAACCGUUCAGGGGUAAACCUGAGAAACCCAAAAGAUCGAAUGGGGAGAUUCAUCGACGACGAAGCUGGCUCCCGUUGGCGUGCGAUUCCCCCGUUGGGACCUCGGUUCCAGAACGCGGGGUACACCCCUUCGGCGAAUAACCGGCGACGUAGUCGUGCACUUCUCCCUUAGUAGAACGUCGCGACCCGUUGUGUGUCGGUCUACGGCCUGGGCUAUUUGCCUGUCGCGGUGGCAUUCGUUCGCUCGCGGCAGAGGCUCGGUCGCCCGGCCGGCUGCACGACGGUACUCCGACGGUAUCGGGCCGCAACCAAUCCCAUUCUCGAAUGGUAUAUGCGUCCAGGCCCGUCGCAAGCUCGGACAGCACCCGGAGCGUGUGGACGCAGCGCCCUCCCCGGGUCUGGCCAGCUGUUAGCAGACGGUGUCCUCGGACCGGCCAAGCUUCGAAUUACCGGUCAGCGACGCUAUUGCUUUGGGUACUCUCAGGACCCGUCUUGAAACACGGACCAAGGAGUCUAACAUGUGCGCGAGUCAUUGGGACAUUGAAACCUAAAGGCGAAAUGAAAGUGAAAGUCGUCGUAAGCGUCGACCAAGGGAGGAUGGGCCGCGUCACGUCGCGGCCUCGCACUCCCGGGGCGUCUCGUUCUCGUUGAGAAGAGGCGCACCCAGAGCGUACACGUU